UACUGAUUUUUAAUCUGAGAGUUUUCAGUUCACUGAGAGAAGUCAUCAUCUUUACACAAAACAUCUUCCAUCAAGCAUCACUGGUGUCAUUGUUACUGAACCUCCGCGGAGCACUGCAGCUCUAAGCAUUGUCCACUCUGAACUUGGUACUUGCUUCUAUAUCACCUCGUCAGUAUGCAUAAUUCAUUCUCUGAACCCAUGAGACCCCACACUUCCGGAAGGCAAGGUACACACAUAUCCAUCAGUGUUUCACUCAGGGCACUAGAGUAAAGUUGCAGACCCGAUGACCAGCAUGUAGGUCUCAAAAAGUCAUUUAUGGUCCUCUAAGAGAAGCAGGCUUCAUUCUUAAGAGACACGAAUGGAAAGCUGCAUCUGGAAGCUUGAUUAAAAAACAAACAAACAAACAAAAAACUACAUGACUUUUUCCUGUAAGAAAUAAGUCAAUGGAGGGAAAAUGAAAUAAACCCAGUUCAACUUCAAAACUGUGAGAGCUGACGUUUAUUGGUCUAAGGUUCAGUAUCAAUGAACACAGGAUAGCAAGUCAUGUAGUUUUGUAUUAGAGAGCAGGUGGUGAGACAUGGCUUUGCCAGAAUCAUUGACUGCUUUUCUUCGGAACUGCAGGGUGAGAAAUUACCUAUUUUUUUCCACCUUUGGUCUCCAAGGAAAUCCGAAGGUGCUAGGAUUCCAGGAGCCGUGGGUCUGUUUUUAGCCUUCGUUUAGGGUGGGUGAUUUCCUUUACUUCCACGUCUAAAGAGCAACAACUCAUUUCUUGAGUCUCCCUCAAGGAAGCUGGCACAAAGGAGAAGAUGGUCGGGAAAACACUAAAGCCUAGGGCCACCUAUUCCAAGGCGCACCUGCGCUGCAAACUUAGGAAACAUCGGUACUGAGCUACUUUGGCCAGCGGCAGCCCAGAGGACAGGCGCAUGCGUAGUAAGCACAACUCGGCUCGCCCGCAGACGUCAUUCCGGGCCGGCGGCCCCGCCCUUCUCAAGAUGGCGCUGUUCUCUGUGCGGAAGGCCCGUGAGUGCUGGCGCUUCAUCCGGGCACUUCACAAAGGACCCGCAGCAACUCUGGCUCCCCAGAAGGAGAGUGGAGAGCGAGUGUUUUCUGGCAUUCAGCCUACAGGAAUCCUCCACCUGGGAAAUUACCUUGGAGCCAUCGAGAGCUGGGUGAACUUACAGGAGGAAUAUGACACAGUGAUAUACAGCAUCGUGGACCUCCACUCCAUCACUGUCCCCCAAGACCCCACCGUCCUCCAGCAGAGCAUCCUGGACAUGACUGCUGUGCUUCUUGCCUGUGGCAUAAACCCAGAGAAAAGUAUCCUUUUCCAGCAGUCUAAGGUGUCUGAACACACUCAGUUAAGUUGGAUCCUCACCUGCAUGGUGAGACUGCCUCGAUUGCAGCAUUUACACCAGUGGAAGGCAAAGGCUGCGAAGCAGAAGCAUGAUGGGACCGUAGGCCUGCUCACAUACCCUGUACUCCAGGCAGCAGACAUCCUGUGCUACAAGGUCUCCCUGUGAACUUGGAAUCCUCAGGCUCCUGAGUGCUGGAAUCACAGGUCCACACACGUUCCUGUCGGGGAGGAUCAAGUCCAGCACAUGGAACUAGUUCAGGAUCUAGCUCGAAGUUUCAACCAAAAGUAUGGGGAGUUCUUUCCAUUGCCCAAGUCCAUUCUCACAUCCAUGAAGAAAGUGAAAUCUCUUCGAGACCCUUCUUCCAAGAUGUCAAAAUCGGACCCUGACAAACUCGCCACUGUUCGAAUAACAGACAGCCCAGAGGAGAUUGUACAGAAAUUCCGCAAGGCUGUGACAGACUUCACGUCAGAGGUCACCUACGAGCCGGACAGCAGAGCUGGUGUUUCCAACAUGGUGGCGAUCCACGCGGCCGUGUCGGGCCUCUCGGUGGAGGAGGUGGUGCGCAGUAGCGCAGGCUUGGACACUGCACGCUACAAGCUGCUAGUGGCCGAUGCUGUGAUUGAGAAAUUUGCUCCAAUCAGGAAGGAGAUUGAGAAAUUGAAAAUGGAUAAGGACCACUUAAGAAAGGUUUUACUUGUUGGAUCUGCAAAAGCCAAAGAAUUGGCCUCUCCUGUGUUCGAGGAGGUGAAGAAGUUGGUGGGGAUUCUGUAGCAAGGUCAGCCAGUCACUGCACUCAAGUCAAGGCAGCUUUCCUCCCACAGAUUUUAGCCUGUCCAAAUUCAAUUGAGUGUGAUGAUCAGCUGCAUUUGAUGACUGCUGUCAAUUGAGCAACGUUCCAAUCCCUGAGGCAGGCACAGCUCUUCCACUCCAGUUCAAUGACACACAGUUUUUUGGUCUGAAGUAUUCCCGAAAACGUGAACAAUUACUGAGCCAUGGCGUGUGCUUGCUUGUGCAGUAUUUACUGUGCAGGUGCACUUUGUCUGUGUUGUGCAGACAGGUCCUAUGCUGCAAUCCUGAAUCCAGUGGGUAUUUGCAGUUCAUAAAGAGAGGUUCAUUCUUGCAGCUCAUGUGAUGAUGAUGUGAUGAUGUUUAUCCUCAUGUAUUGGAAUGACUUGACUUGUGCUAGCAAGGUGGCUCGGGCUCAAGGUACCUGCUGCCAAGCUGAAUAGCUGGAGCUCAAUCCACAGGGCCAGCAUGGUGGAAGGAGAAACUGACUGGCAGGUUGUCCUCUGACCUCCGCUUGUCUGCCAUGGUAUGAGUACACACACACACACACAUGCGCGCCUAAGUAAAAAUACAAUAACCUACUUGUUUCUUAAAAGGCACACACUGACUUACUUAUUUCAGCAAAUGUCUGUACUUAAGUGAUCCAGGAGGUCAUUGGAGAGCAUUAUAUUGCUUCAGUUCCAUCUAUUUAUUAUACAGGGCCUGUGUUCCUGGUUGUAUUCAUAAUAAGCACUUCUAUUUUUACAUUCAUCUCAGUUUAGUCUCACCAAACCCUACCUCUGUGGAACACAUAGGAACUGAGGGGUAGAACAUGGAAUUAGCUGUACAGUGUCACUAAGUAAAUAAGAAGCAAGUCCAAGAGUGAAGGCCUAGCUCCCCUGCUUCCAAGACUGGUGCUUUUUAAGACUUCUCCCAAAGCUCUGAGGGCCAAAGUUUUGGACCUCUAAACAUUCCAGUAUUCAGUUUGGAUACUGAAAAGAUAAAGGCUGAAAUACUGAUUUUUGUUUAUGUGAACUCAGCUAAUGGUUGUGUAUUUUAAAUCUGGAUCCAGCCACCUCUGGUCACACUUACCUUUCAAAACCCCAAAAAUGGGUCCCAUGGCCUCACUUCCAAAUUCAUGCUGGAGAUGCCUGCUUGUCUCGGCCAGAUUCCAGUGGGAGCGAAGUCUAAAGCAUCUGACGUUUCCAGUGAAGGGAAGCUUCCCGUCUCAGCCUGCCUCAGGCUCUGUGAAAUCACAGAGUAUAGCUCUGCACGUCCAUGUUCACAGCUGAAACGAAUGGCAGUCCUGGCUUACAUCCCAAGGCCUGUAUCAAGAUUGAUUUUGCAGGGCCAGCAAGAUGGCUCAGCAGAAAAGGGCUCCUUUUGUGAAGCAAGCCUGACUAUGUGAGUUCAAUCCCUGAGAUCCAUGUGAUAAAUAAAGGAGAGAACCAACUCCUCAACGUUGUACUGUGACUUACACACACACACACACACACACACACACACACACACACCACAAUGAAAUGCACAGGACUACCCACACACAAAAAUAAAUAAAUGUUUACUUUUAAUGUUAAGGUUGAGUUCACCUCGAUUGUCACAUAGAAUUGGAAGUAGGAGACACUGUAUCCCAGAGUCCAGAUUAAAACACCAACUAGGUUCGGGAAAAGGGUACAUUUUACUUUUGGGGGGGGUGCAUGUUGUUUUCUUAAUUCAUUUAUUUAUUAGUGUAUGUGUUUGAAUGGGUGAGAUCAUGCUAAGGUGUGUCUGUCACGGUUGGAGGAUGAUUAGUGGGGUCCGGUUCUCUCCUUCCACCACGUAGGUUCUGGGACUCGAGCUCAGGUCAUCAGGCACACUUUCCCGUUGGGCCAGUUAGUUUUAUCUUUUGCACCUUAGUGGGAGAUGUCUGCAGUCUGAGAGCAUCACUGAGUGUAUUUCUUUUAAAGAUCUUUUUUACUUUCCUUUCGUUUUAUCUGUUUGCAUUUGUGUGUGUAUGUGUGCGCGCGCGCACGUGCGCAUGCAUGCAUGCCACAAAACAUGUGUGAUGUCAGAGGACAGUGCAAAAGCUGGCUUUCUUCCACCAGGUAGAUUCCAGGGUUCAAACUCAGGCUGUCCGGCUUAGCAGCAGGCACCCCUGCCUACUGAGGCAGCCCACCAGUACCUUUUCACCUUCCUUUUAAAGAAAUCUAUUAGGAAUACUGGGAAUUGUAUCUACCAGGCCAAUUGCCUGUUUAGCUCUGUGGUCUCUACCUCCUAGCAAUGCUUCUGUCUAGCAAGAACUAAAGGCAAUAGGAAAAGAUCUCCAAAAAAAAAGAAAAAGUGUAAAAGAGAGGGGGAGGGAACAAAAAACACAAAAACACUAGAACAGGAUAACGUCUAAGGAACAGGGUCAGUGCAUUCUGUUAUGUAAGACUCUUACUGCAGAAAAUCUAAAUUUGCCAUAUAAUUAAGAUUCUUGCUCAAUCAAUGUAUUAAAGUUCCCCAGGGAAACAAGCCCAAUAGGACACAUAGAAACAAAAGAGAGUGGGCUGAAGAGAUGGCUCAGGGGUUAAGAGCAUUAGCUGCUCUUCCAGUGGUCAUGAGUUCAAUUCCUAGCAACCACAUGGUGGCUCACAACCAUCUGUAAUGGAAUCUGAUGCCCUCUUCUGGUGUGUCUGAAGAGAGCAACAGUAUACUCACAUACAUAAAAUAAAUAAAUAAAUGGUAAGUUCUGAGAGACAGAGAGACAGAGAGGAGAGGAAGUUAGUUUACCAGGGGCUGGAGCAUGGCUCAGUGACCAAUGGCAUGAAGUUUUUUUCCCAGCACUCAUGUUGGGCAGCCCACAACUGCCUGCAAAUGCCAGCACUAAGGGGUCAGAUAUCUCUGGCUUUAGCAUGCACCUGUAUUCACAUAACUAAAAAUUACACACUUAAAAUAAUAACAAUUUGCCAUAUGGAUUGGGUCACACUAUUACAAGGACUGGGAGAAAACAUAGCAUGCUGUCUUUAACCUGGAGACUCAGGACAGCAGCGUAAUCCAGACCAGACUUAAAGGCUAACUUGUCAGUGGUGCAUAGUCAGUUCAAGGAAUUCAGAGCCAAGAGACUGGACAGGGACUCCUGUGCAAGUCCCGGAGUCUGGGAACCAUAAACUAUGACAUUCCAAGAUGGGUCAGCUCAAGGAAAGAACAAACUGGCCUUUCCCACAUUUUUGAGGCGGCCCCUUGAUGGAUUGGUUAGGACCUGCUAACAUUGACAAGGAUAAGUCUUCAUUUACUGACUCAGUGUCCAAUCUUUUCUAGAAAUACCCUCAGACAACCCCCCUGAAAAAAAGUAAAAUUAAAAAAGAAAAGGUUUCACUAGCUAUCUGUUACACCCUGUCGCCUCAGAAGCUGAGAGCAAAGGCUGCAUACAGCCUAGUGUGCCUCUUCACCCCUUCCCAUUGUUGUUUACAGGCCCAGCAGGUUGUUUUUUUCUUGAGACAGGGGCUCUACAUAACCCAGGCUGUACUGGUCUACUGUGUAGACCAGGUUAGCUUUGAACUGAUAGAGCUCCUCUGCCUUCUGGAUGCUGAGAUUAAUGGAGUGUACCACCAUGCUGGCCCAAGAAUAAAUAAAUGUGUGUGUGUGUGUGUGUGUGUGUGUGUGUGUGUGUGUAGAGUUAGAAAUACAAACAACUGACAACUAUGGUUGACUUCAAAAGGAAAAUUUUAUUGUUAUUUCCUAUUAGCUCUAUAGAGAAUGGAAAUGUAAAAAUAUUUCAAAUGAUAAUGUUAUAGCAGUCAGGCAGCAUGGUGCCUGUAACUGUGCCUCCUGACAAAUCCCACUGCACACUACCUUGUCCAACUAGACCCUCUCCACAGUGAGUAGGUUCAUCUUCAUUGGUUUAUCUUUUUGAUAUAUGAUAGUUAUCAGAGUAUUACCAGAAAAUGUGCUAGAGACUUCUAAUAAAGUGUGAUUCCCCCACCAUGAUUCCUGCUCCCCCCAAAAAAACACCCUUCCAGAUGCACACCACAAGUGUGGUUAUCACAAAGCAACUCCCAGCACUAUCAGUUCUGAUGUCUAUUGGGUACAGUGCUAAAUGUCUGCAACCAUCACCUACAUAAAUUGUAUAAAGGAAACUAUUUAUUUUUACUUCACCAUUUUGAGGGUUAAGUCCAUGAUUGGUUGGUCCAUUUGUUUUUCUACCUACCUCAGGGAAAUGCAUCCAGACAGCACAGCUGCUUAUUUUAUGGUGGUAAGCCAGCAAGAAGAAAAGUUGAGGGAAUGGGAUGCCAGUCCCCUCUGUGAACCUACCCCUUAAUGACCACAGUGUGUCCCACUAGGCCCCAACUCAGUAUUUCUACUACCCCC